rnacentral:sRNA from 1 species
UGGAGCACUACCUUUGUGAGCAGUGUGACCCAAGGCCUGUGGACAGGGAGGUUCCCAUGAUCCCUCGGCCCCACUAUGCCCAACCUGGCUGUGUCUACUUCAUCUGUUUGCUCCGAGAUGACUUGCUGCUUCGUCAGGGUGACUGUGUGUAUCUGAUGAGGGAUAGUCGGCGCACCCCUGAUGGCCACCCGGUCCGUCAGUCCUAUCGACUGUUAUCUCACAUUAACCGAGAUAAACUUGACAUCUUUCGCAUUGAGAAGCUUUGGAAGAAUGAAAAAGAGGAACGGUUUGCCUUUGGUCACCAUUAUUUCCGUCCCCACGAAACACACCACUCUCCAUCCCGUCGGUUCUAUCAUAAUGAACUAUUUCGGGUGCCACUCUAUGAGAUCAUUCCCUUGGAGGCUGUAGUGGGGACCUGCUGUGUGUUGGACCUUUAUACGUAUUGUAAAGGUAAGUGAUCUGGGCUAGUUAAAAAAUGACCUCGGCCAAGUGCAAUGGCUCACGCCGGUAAUCCCAGCAGUGUGGGAGGCCGAGGCAGGCAGAUUGCUUAAGCCCAGGAGUGUGAGACCAGCCUGGCCAAUGUGGCAAAACUGCCUCUGUAACCGGGCGUGACAGUGUAGGCCUGUAGUCCCAACUACUGGGAGGAUUGCUGAGCCUGGGAGGCAGAGGUUGCAGUGAGCCAAGAUCGCACCACUGCACUCCAACCUGUGCAACAGAAUGA